rnacentral:rRNA from 1 species
UGAGGGAUAUUGCACAAUGGGCGCAAGCCUGAUGCAGCGACGCCGCGUGGGUGAUGAAGGCUUUCGAGUCGUAAAACCCUUUUCUGUGUGACGAGCAAGGACGGUAGCACAGGAAUAAGUCUCGGCUAACUACGUGCCAGCAGCCGCGGUAAAACGUAGGAGACAAACGUUAUCCGGAGUUACUGGGCGUAAAGGGCGUGCAGGCGGUUUGGUAAGUCUGGCGUGAAAUCAUUCGGCUUAACCGGGUGAUGUCGUCGGAGACUGCCAGACUAGAGGGUGAUAGAGGCGUGUGGAAUUCCGGGUGUAGUGGUGAAAUGCGUAGAGAUCCGGAGGAACACCAGUGGCGAAGGCGACACGCUGGGUCACACCUGACGCUAAGACGCGACAGCAUGGGGAGCGAACGGGAUUAGAUACCCUGGUAGUCCCUGAGCGGGCUGGCAAGGCGCAU